CGUAGUCGAAUUUCGGGAUUGUCCGCUUGGUCUUGCUUUGAGGUACUCUGCGGGUUUUCCUUUUUUCUCGGUAGAUUACACAUUGUGUAAAAAGUCGAGACUUUUACUUUGAAUAAAUUAGAGUGUUCAAAGCAGGCUUUUGCUUGAAUACAUUAGCAUGGAAUAAUAAAAUAGGACUUUGGUUUUAUUUUGUUGGUUUUAAGAACCAAAGUAAUGAUUAAUAGGGACAGUUGGGGGGGUUAGUAUUUAAAAAGCAGAAAAAAAAUUCUUGUUUUUUCUAAAGACUAAUGGGGGCGAAAGCCUUU
rnacentral:rRNA from 1 species